AUUGGCACUGCUGGUUUUCAAAUAUAAGUAACUUAGUUUUUUCCUUUUUAAACUUAGCCUAUGGUUUGAAGAGAGAUUCCCACACAGUAGACAUGGAAUGCACAUUUGCACUGAUUUUUGGAGCUGCUUUAUAACAUUGAACAUGCUGCUAUACCCUCAGCUCAGCAAGGCUGAAGGAACUUAAAACUUCUUGGUAGCCAGCCAUAUCCAUAACUAUUUGAAUAUGUCAAAGCAGUGUUUAUUAUUGGCAGUCAUUGUUGAAACCCAAGGAAAAGCCACGUUUGGGGAAAUAUGAAAGACGAGAAAUUGGCACUCUUUUAAAGUGUUAACUGUGGUCACCAUGCUGUAUGUUACAUCUCCACUACCUGUUUCUCUCGGAC